rnacentral:rRNA from 1 species
UACGGGGGAGCAAGCGUUUGUUCGGAUUUACUGGGCGUAAAGGGCGCGUAGGCGGUCAGCACAAGUCAGUUGUGAAAUCUCCGGGCUUAACCCGGAAAGGUCAGCCGAUACUGCGGGGCUAGAGUGCAGAAGGGGCAACUGGAAUUCUCGGUGUAGCGGUGAAAUGCGCAGAUAUCAGGAGGAACACCGGGUGGCGAAGGCGGAUCUCUGGGCCAUUACUGACGUGAGGAGCGAAAGCGUGGGGAGCGAACAGG